GCCAAAAACCUAGCCUCAAUUUAUUCAAAUAUAUAACCCUUUAUUUAAUUUAACAAAACAAAACAUUUAAACAAUCUAGUAAAGGCGAUAGAAAAAUUUAUUAGAGCCACAUAAAUAGUACCGCAAGGGAAAGGUGAAAUAAAAAUGAAAAAUCAAGCAUCAAAAAGUAGAGAUCAACUCUCGUACCUUUUGCAUCAUGGUUUAACUAGUCUCAAUCAAGCGAAACGAAUUUUAGUUUGACCCCCCGAAACCAAGCGAGCUACUCCACGGCAGCUUAAUGAGCCCACCCAUCUCUGUUGCAAAAGAGUGGGGAGACCUUCGAGUAGAGGCGAGAAACCUAACGAGCUUGGUAAUAGCUGGUUGUUCGACAAAAGAAUCUAAGUUCUACCUAAAGUUUAACAAAUUUCUCAAAAUAAACCUAUACUUUAGAGUUAUUCAAAUAAGGUUCAGCCUAUUUGAAUUAGGGUACAACCUCUGCUAUUGGGUAAAAUAUCUUUUCUAUCAAAGUUGGCCUAAAAGCAGCCAUCUUUAAAAAAGCGUCACAGCUUAACUCCUCCAUCCUUUUAAUUCCACCAACCUCUUUCAACCCUUUACUAAAAUCGAACAGUUCUAUACUACUAUAGAACCUAUAAUGUUAAAACGAGUAACAAGAAGAAUACUCUUCUCUUAAAUGCAACUAUAAGCCAGAAAGGAUAAACCACUGGCAAUUAACACAAUUGAACACAAAUUAGCAACACCUCAAGAAAACCCUAAUUAAUCUAAUGUUAACCUAACACCAGAGCAUCUCAAGAAAGAUUAAAAGAGAAAGAAGGAACUCGGCAAACAUUAACCCCGCCUGUUUACCAAAAACAUCGCCUCUUGAACUAAAUAAGAGGUAUAGCCUGCCCAGUGACGCCAGUUCAACGGCCGCGGUAUCCUAACCGUGCGAAGGUAGCGUAAUCACUUGUUCUUUAAAUGAGGACUAGUAUGAAUGGCAUUACGAGGGUUAUACUGUCUCCUCUCUCCAAUCAGUGAAACUAAUCUCCCCGUGAAGAAGCGAGGAUAAACACAUAAGACGAGAAGACCCUAUGGAGCUUUAAACAAACCAGCAUUUGCUACUCAACCACACUUUUCAGAAACCCUAAACACAUCCUAGCUCUCUGACUGCAAGUUUUCGAUUGGGGUGAUCAUGGAACAAAAAAUAACCUCCAUGUCGAAAGGACCCUCUCCUGAACAAAAAGCGACAGCUUUCUGCACUAAAAAAUUAACGUUUAUUGACCCAACACUUUGAUCAACGAACCAAGUUACCCUAGGGAUAACAGCGCAAUCUACUUCAAGAGUCCCUAUCGACAAGUAGGUUUACGACCUCGAUGUUGGAUCAGGGUACCCCAGUGGUGCAGCCGCUACUAAAGGUUCGUUUGUUCAACGAUUAAAACCCU
rnacentral:rRNA from 1 species